rnacentral:rRNA from 1 species
GCACGUAGUUGGCCGCACCUUCUUCUGCAGGUACCGUCAUUUUCUUCCCUGCUGAAAGCGGUUUACAACCCUAAGGCCUUCGUCCCGCACGCGGCGUUGCUGCAUCAGGCUUUCGCCCAUUGUGCAAGAUUCCCCACUGCUGCCUCCCGUAGGAGUCUGGGCCGUGUCUCAGUCCCAGUGUGGCUGAUCAUCCUCUCAGACCAGCUACCCGUCGAUGCCUUGGUGAGCCGUUACCUCACCAACUAGCUGAUAGGCCGCGAGACCCUCCCAAACCGCAAAAGCUUUCUUCGAUGCGCCAUGCGACGCUACGAAGGUAUUCGGUAUUAGCAGUCGUUUCCGACUGUUAUUCCCAAGUCUGGGGCAGGUUUCUCACGUGUUACGCACCCGUUCGCCACUAGGUCUUCGCCUCUCCGAAGAUUGGCUGGACCUCGUUCGACUUGCAUGUGUUAAGCACGCCGCCAGCGUUCGUC